UUUCCGUAGGUGAACCUGCGGAAGGAUCAUUGCCGGUUCUGUUUGAAGGUGGGAGAUUCUCCCUACCCCACACCUCCGUGAACAUUGGGGGGUCUCGAAAGAGUGUCUUCCCGUUAACGAACGCGCUCGUCACUAGUGUGUUUUUUGAGAACCCCCUUCUGCAGAGGGGUAAGUCUCUGUAACACAACUUUCAACAACGGAACUCUUGUCUCUCACAUCGAGGAAAAAUGCAGCAGACCGGAAUCUCACACCUCUGAACGCUGGACAACCCAACACAUC
rnacentral:misc_RNA from 1 species